GAACGAUUUCAAAUACAAAGAAAGUAACGGCUCUUUUCCUGAAAGAAACAACCGCUGCGCAAGAACAUCCAGUAUGCAUGAGUUCUCUUAAAAUCUCAAAGGGUUCACAGAGCAGCACUAUUGCACUGAAGAUGUUCAAGAGGCGAGUAAACAUUUGCUCCUCAAGCUCAUCCAUCUGUGCACAACAGCAACUCUGCUGCCUGGAUGCGUACUCACAGUUCUAGCUUCCACACGGCAGAUGGCCCUCCCAUGCAUCUGAAAGAGAAAGGAACAAGAGGUACAACAUUUGCUUCCGAAUGGGUGUGUGUUAUUGAAAGGGAGAUCCAGCCUACCUGACAGUGAGUUUGACAAUCCUGGAUACUGAUGCUGAGCUGCUACUGAAAGGAUGCUGAAUGUGGGUGUGUGUUC